GCCCGGCUCACGCGGCUGAGCCAACGUUGUGUCCUUCAUAGAGCCUUCUAUGCCACACAUGCCUGCCGGGCUCCCCGAAAUAGUUCUGGAGUUGGAGUUUUCAUCGGUACUCUGGGAACAGAGCCUGCCACCCAACACCUCAGCCGGAGCAGGGAAAAAAAUAGAGAGAGAGACUGUGAACAUAAAUGGUCUGGCCACUGCAGAAAACAGUGUGGUGCUUUCUCAAGAAGUACAACAUGGAAUUACCACGUGACCCAGCAAUUCCACUCCUAGGAGUAGUUCUUAUGUAUUGUACAGCAUUCUGCAAAUGAAGAAAACACAGAAGGGCCACCUGGCUGGCUCAGUUGGUGGACUGUCAGUGCAACGCCUGAUCUCAGGGUUAUGAGUUCAAGUCCCACAUUGGGUGUAGAGAUUACUUUAAAAAAAUAAAAUCUUAAAGAAAGAAAAAAAGAAAA